ACUUAUUAUUAUAUCCCUAAUAUCAUUAAAAAUAUUAUUUUUGUAUCAUUAUUAUUGAAAUAAAAUUUUGAAAUAAAAGCAAAGAAUAAUGGUUGUUCUAUAUAUUUUUCUAACGAAUAUUAUGGAAGUGCUUAUAUUGAUAAUGGUCUUUUAUUUCUUUCACUUAAUGAUAAUGUGCUUCAUAUUGAUAAUAUAAAAAAAAAAA
rnacentral:lncRNA from 1 species